rnacentral:rRNA from 1 species
GCUUAAGGCCAGACUGCUCUGAGACACUCAUUCCUGUUUGAGCUCAGAAGCUAAGCAGGUUUGGCCCUGGUUAGUACUUGGAUGGGAGACGACCUGGGAAUACCAGGUGCUGUAAACU